UUUCUCAGCAAUCAAUCUAAAAUAUAGCUGUGAUUCCUGUCUGAUCUCAGAAGCUAAGCAGGGUCGGGCCUGGUUAGUACUUGGAUGGGAGACCACCUAGGAAGACCAGGUGCUGUAGGUGC
ensembl:rRNA 5S_rRNA 5S ribosomal RNA